AACUGUAUAAAUAAAGGAAUCAGUGACUCAACCCUUAGAGAGCUGUCUUAGGAAACCUGUUACUAAAAAUAUAUUGUAAUCCAACUGUGCCUUGCAUGCCAUUUUGCCAAGCCAAACUCAGCGAGAAGACUGCAGGCUUUCUCCACGGCGUGGCAUCAUUAGGGGGAUAAACCAUGAGCCUGGUCUAAUGAGCAAUGAAACACUUUGUCCCCCCAGCUGCCUCCGUCUCUGGACUGACCUGGUGCUUCCCCAUGUGACCUUGCAUCGUGUCUGAUGUUCUCCCCAAGGAACCGUGAGUAUAAUCAAGUCUUUAAACGGUCUCAGUCUCUCUCUGUCUUGACUUGCAUCUAGUCUUACUAAUCCCCAUUCAAGCUACUAUGACAAAACAGACCAUGGCUUCGGCCCAGUGCUAGGAAAACCCUGGCCAGCGUCCAGAGAUGAGCAAGUGGGUUUCUGUCACUGUCGUGUGCCACUCUGCUAGAGGCCACGGUACUAUUCUAUGUGAGAUCUGGGGCUGAUAGAAACGGUAGUCAGCUUCUCAAGCGGCUCAGGCCAAAAGAACAACUCCUCGCAUAAAACAGAAACCGUCAUCGCCAUUAUAAACACGAUGUGGCCCUACAAAGAGCCCAAGUGAGCAGUGCUCUUAGUGGGACCAAACGCUCAUCCCGCGUAAGGGUUUUUACUGGUUCCUUCGGGGCCCGGACAAGUGGCAGUCGCCCCUGCAGGGAGUGUUCCAGAAGCAUCUGCGUCUGAGACAGAGCUCAUUCACCUCACCUCGGGGGAGAGGAGGCCAGCUACCUCUCAGAAAAGAGUUAAUUUACCCCAGGUGACUCAUAAAGCCACAGAAUCACCCAAUUACAGAACCUUAACAUUUCAGAAUCUGGAAGGGAGCUGACAGGUCAUCUGGCCCCCGCACCCCUCAUUUUAAGAAUUAAAAAAUUAUCCCGGUGAAAACAAAGACUUUCACUCACCUGCAGUUCUCAUUUUGGAGCCCCCAAUGAAUGCUAAUUGAAGGGCUGAAUGGAAAACAGCUUCGAACUACAACCAGUGUAUAUUUUGUGGGUUUUCUUACUGACUGAGGAGUGGGUCCAUCCGUCCGUCAGCCCAUUUGUUUGUUUGUCUAUUCAACCCUCCAUCCACCGAUUCCCCUGCCUCGUGAGAUGUGAAGACAGUGACACAGAGCGCACGGAUUUCACUUACUCGAACUGCCUCCUCUUCCCUUCCUGUUCCUCUCUCUCACCCGGGCUGAAGAGGAGCGUUGCAUGCACGUGUGGGUGUGGGAGAAGGGCCAGUUGAAGGCACUGUUGCCGCAGGUGUUUUGAAACUCUCCAAGUCCCUCACACGCCCAUGGUCGAUAUCACCCAGCCAGGACCGCUUGACAGAGUACAUGAUAGAGGGGAACUUCAUGAAGGGACCCAAGAUGCUAGAGGGCUGAAAGCAAGCCCUUCUCUUGUCUUCACAAUACCUUCCAGUGUCAGAACUCGGGGUCACUGGGUGGAGCUCAGGACAAAGAAAUGUAAAUAAACCACUGCUGGAGGUGCCGCUUCCCUGUUUGCGACGGCCAGCCAGACUAUCCACCUGGCUUCGGCUGCGGGUCCUGAGUUAAACGUUACAGCUGAUGGUGAGAGGGGCUGGGUGAAUCCGUGAUCAAUAGUGAUGUUGGUUCUUACAGGAGCUAAGAUAAGGGUAAUUAAAUCCUGUGCUUCGGGCCAUAUAAACUGAUCUCUGCAGGAGGGCGAGAAUUAAUUUAAUUUCACAUGCACAACCCCGUCCAACGCCUCCACCAGCUUUGUAUGAUAGACCCAGUGCGUGGCAAAGAAGAUAGAGGGAAGACAGAAAGAUUUGUUCCAAGCUCUAGGUAUUAUUAACCACCACACAAAUCAAGAGCUUGAACCUGAUGUGGCCCAAGGCUGAUCUAAGGGUGGUAAAUCCAGAGCUUCUUACAGCUUCUCCCUCUAUUUGGUUUAUUACACAUAAUCUGUACCGGGACUGUUUUCACACUUAAUGACAAUCCUGAAUCACUAUCUACUUCCCAUUUUCGCCUGCAAAACAGCAACCCAGAGCUUGUGCUCCGCCAUAAAAGCUCGGCCCCAUAAAGCCACGGCUG